rnacentral:rRNA from 1 species
UGAGCAAUCUGCCCUUCUCUUUGGAAUAAGCGUUGGAAACGACGUCUAAUGCCGAAUACGACCUCCUUUCGCAUGAUCGGAGGUGGAAAGCUCCGGCGGAGAAGGAUGAGUUCGCGGCCUAUCAGCUAGUUGGUGUGGGUAAUGGCCCACCAAGGCGACGACGGGUAGCCGGCCUGAGAGGGUGACCGGCCACACUGGGACUGAGACACGGCCCAGACCUCCGUACGGGAGCAGCAGG